rnacentral:lncRNA from 10 species
CGGAGUCUCGCUCUGUCGCCCAGGCUGGAGUGCAGUGGCACGAUCUCGGCUCACUGCAAGCUCCGCCUCCCAGGUUCACGCCAUUGUCCUGCCUCAGCCUCCCGAGUAGCUGGGACUACAGACGCCCGCCACCACGCCCGGCUAAUUUGUUUUUUGUAUUUUUAGUAGAGACGGGGUUUCACCGUGUUACCCAGGAUGGUAUCGAUCUCCCGACCUCGUGAUCCACCCGCCUCGGCCUCCCAAAGUGCUGGGAUGACAGGCGUGAGCCACCGCGCCCGGCCCUAUUUUUUUCUUUUUUGAGACAGAGUCUCGCUUUGUCGUACAGGCUGGAGUGCAGGGGUGCAACUGGGGUUCACUGCAGCCUCGAACUCCCAGGCUCAAGCGAUCCUCCUGCCUCAGCCACCCAAGUAGCUGGAACCACAGGUCCGCACCACCACGCCCCGCUAUUUUUUGUGUUUUUUGUAGGGACGGGGUUGCACCAUGUUGCUCAGGCUGGUCUCGAACUCCCGUGCUCAAGCGAUCCGCCAUCCUGGGCCUCCCAAAGUGCUGGGGUUACAGGCAUGCGGCCCCGCGCCGGCCCAGUCUUUCCCUCUCCCACUGCUUCCCAGGGCUUCGCCUGUCUAACCAGGCGCGGGCAGUUGUCCUGUGUCCUGGCUCAGCGCGGACCUACGCGGGGUGGUCACACAGAUGCCCCCAGCUCUCUCUACCUCCCGCGAAGGCGCUGAGCCCCCUGAUCCCUGCCCGGGCACUGGCGCAAGGUCGCCUGCGAGCGCCAGGCCUUCCUGCCCGGUGGGAGACGGGAGGGCCCGCUCUCCGGCUCGGUCUGGUUCCCGGGUCAGCCAGCAGCCGCGCCUCUUCCUCCCAGACCCGGGACCCGCCCCUUGGCCGGGGCCGCGGCCGCAGCGCCCGGAGGGGCCGCCCUGCGCGUGCCCGCGGGAGGCUCUCCUUCUGCCUCCGCAUGCCCAACGAUCCGGAGAAAAACACGGACCAUGACAUCAAAAGGCCUUGGCCAAGGAAUCGUGAUUAUUGUGAUACAAGAUUCUGCACCUCAAAGGGGAUCCCUGUAGUGAGUUUUGGAAAACGUACAAAGCCUGACUUACAAUAUGCCUGUUAUCUGUGGCGUUUCAUCUGGGGAACUUACUUUUCCUUGAUAGGGUAAACUAUUCUCAUCCAGAGUAUGUCCCUCAGUCUGUAAAAGUCCAUGGUGCCCUACAUCUAUUAGGGGAGUGAGGAAGGGCAGUGGGCAUUGGAUCUGCUUCUUUGAAAGCCCCCACCUGUGUUUAGCUUCUGUUAGAGGCCUUUGAACCAGAGCAACUCCAUCUUGAGUAGGCGCUGGGUAAAAUCAGGCUGAGACCUACUGGGCUGUGUUCCCAGGUGGUGGAGGCAUUCUAAGUCACAGGAUGAGAUGAGAGGCCGGCACAAGCAGUAAAGAAGCCGCGGCCAAAACCCACCAAAACCAAGAUGGUGAUGCGAAUGACCUCUGGUCGUCCUCACUGCUACACUCCCACCAGCGCCAAGACAGCUUACAAAUGCCAUGGCAACGCCAGAAUGUUACCCUAUAUGGUCUAAAAAGGGGAGGCAUGAAUAAUCCACCCCUUCUUUAGCAUAUAAUCAAUAAAUAACCAUAAAAAUGAGCAACCAGCAGCCCUCGGGGCUGCUCUAUGGAGUAGCCAUUGUUUUAUUUCUUUACUUUUUUUUUUUUUUUGAGAGGGAGUCUUGCUCUUGCUCAGGCUGGAGUGCAGUGGCGUGAUCUCGGCUCACUGCAAUCUCCGUCUCCUGGGUUCAAGCGAUUCUCCUGCCUCAGCUUUCGAGUGGCUGGGACUACAGGUGCCCCCACCAUGCCGGCUUUUUUUUUUUUUGUACUUUUAAUAGAGACGGGGUUUCACCACGAUGGCCAGGGUGGUCUCGAACUCCUGUCCUCAGAUGAUCUGCCUGCCUUGGCCUCCCAAAGUGCUGGGAUUAUAUGCGUGAGCCACCGCGCCCAGCCCUAUUCCUUUACUUUUUUUUUUUGAGGUGGAGUCUCACACCUGGCCUCCAAUAUGUUUAUUCAUAUUGCUGAGGCAGGGGAUUGCUUGAGCCCAAGAGUUUGAGGUUGCAGUGAACCAUGAUCAUAAGCUGUAUUUCAGCGUGAGUGAGAGAUUGAGACCUUGUCUCACAAAAUAAAAGUUAAAAAGCCCUUAUCUGGAGGUGAGAAAGCCAAAUACAAAGGUCUUCUCAGUUGGUUCCCAGUCUUCCCAGUCCAGCAGCCUCAGCAUCACCAGGGAGCUGGUUAGGCAAAUUCUCGGCGGCCCCAACCUACUGAAUUGGAGACCCUGAAGAUGGGGCUAUCUGAAUUUUAACAAGGCCUCCAGGUUUGCAUGCUCAAGAUUGAGAACCACUGGCAAAAGCAAACAAUUUGAAUCUGAAGUCAGCCCACCUGCAUUUGAAUACAGGCCCUGCCACUUAAUAACUGUGAUUUAGAGCAAGUUAGUUACUUAACAGCUAGGUUGACCAAUUGUCCGAGUUUGCCUGGCACUAUCCUGAUUUCAGCACUGAAAGUACUACAUUAUCGCUGUGGCUCACGCCUAUAAUCCCAGCUUCUCAAGCUGUCCCUGUGGAAUCCUCAAUAUCGGUACAUUCAUCCCUAUCUAGCAUCCCCUUCCUCCCUCACCCAUCCUGCACCCUCAGAAUUCAUUCUCAGAUCACCUUCCCAGAUUUUUGCCAAUAUCAAUUAAAAAAAUUUUUUAGCCAACCAUGUACUGUGAGUAAGCCAAUAUCAAUUAGCAAAAUCUUUAGUUUCUUUUGGUGAUUCAGUAUCUUCCCCCUGGAGUUUUUUGAUGAUUCAGUACCCUCCUAGAUUUGGCCCCUGGGGCCUGCGGGGAUGUGACUUGUCAUUUAAUUCUGGAGAAAAUGAGGGGUAGGGCUUAUAAGGAGACUCCUUCGGGGCAGGGUCAUUACAGGGUGUGUUACAUAGGGAAAUGCUAGCUGCUGGCUAGCUCUCGCUCUUGAAAGGCUCUUCCUCCCUCAACUGAAAUGGGGAAGGGGGAACCCCGGCCGACUGAGGUCCUGACAUCUUUAGCACAUGGCUUCUUAGGUCACCCAGGGCAUCCAGGUUACCAGCUUGGGAAACAGGAGAUGUAGGUUGGAGGAAGAGGCUACAGCCCACCCUGGAAAUAACUGCCAUCCGUCCCACCCAUAUGGUUAGGCUUUGUGUCCCCACCCAGAUCUCAUCUCGAAUUACAAUCCCCACGGGUUGAGGGAUGGACCAGGUGGAGGUACUUGCAUCAUGGGGGCAGUUUCCCCCAUGCUGUGCUCGUGACAGUGAGUGAGUUCUCACGAGAUCUGAUGGUUUUAAAGCGUGGCAGUUCCUCUUUCUCGUGCUUACAUCCUCGUAACUAUCCUGUGGAGAAGGUGUCUGCUUUCCCCUACCUCCAUGGUUGUAAGUUUCCUGAAGCCUCCCCAGCCGUGUGGAACUGUGAGUCAAUUAAACUUCUUUAUAAGUUACCCAGUCUCGGUGUUUGCUUUUUUGAGAUGGAGAUUUGCUCUUGUUGCCCAGGUUGGAGUGCAAUGGCGUGAUCUCGGCUCUUUGCAACCUCUGCCUCUCGGGUUGAAGCUAUUCUCCUGCCUCAGCCUCCCAAGUAGCUGGGAUUACAGGCGUG